AUGGCUGUGAUGAUUGGCGCAGGGGUACGGACCUCAGCUGGAUCAUGGGAGCUGAGUGCAGCCUCGUUUCGGUGCAGCUGGCAUGUGGUUGGCUCACUGGAAGCAGGUUUGCAUGAGACUUUGCCAAAAGCUGAGCCAU
rfam:Calypte anna contig64863, whole genome shotgun sequence.